AUUGAACGCUGGCGGCAGGCCUAACACAUGCAAGACGAGCGGAUGAAGGGAGCUUGCUCCUGGAUUCAGCGGCGGACGGGUGAGUAAUGCCUAGGAAUCUGCCUGGUAGUGGGGGAUAACGUCCGGAAACGGGCGCUAAUACCGCAUACGUCCUGAGGGAGAAAGUGGGGGAUCUUCGGACCUCACGCUAUCAGAUGAGCCUAGGUCGGAUUAGCUAGUUGGUGGGGUAAAGGCCUACCAAGGCGACGAUCCGUAACUGGUCUGAGAGGAUGAUCAGUCACACUGGAACUGAGACACGGUCCAGACUCCUACGGGAGGCAGCAGUGGGGAAUAUUGGACAAUGGGCGAAAGCCUGAUCCAGCCAUGCCGCGUGUGUGAAGAAGGUCUUCGGAUUGUAAAGCACUUUAAGUUGGGAGGAAGGGCAGUAAGUUAAUACCUUGCUGUUUUGACGUUACCAACAGAAUAGGCACCGGCUAACUUCGUG
rnacentral:rRNA from 1 species